rnacentral:rRNA from 1 species
UUAAGCUAAAAAGAGCGCAGGGUGGAUGCCUUGGCACUAAGAGCCGAUGAAAGACGUGAUAAGCUGCGAAAAGCUUCGGGGAGGAGCAAAUAUCCUUUGAUCCGGAGAUAUCUGAAUGGGGAAACCUGGCUGAGCAAACCUCAGUCGGCGUAACGUGAAUCCAUAGCGUUACGUUGGGAACCCGCUGAACUGAAACAUCUAAGUAGGCGGAGGAAAAGAAAGAAAACUCGAUUUCCAGAGUAGCGGCGAGCGAAAUGGAAGGAGCCUAAACCUGGGUGCGUGCACCCAGGGGUUAUGGACUGCAGUAAGUGACUCGUAUGGUAACAGAACGGUCCUGGAAAGACCGGCCACAGAGGGUGAAAGCCCCGUAUGUGAAACCAGAAGAGAGCGGGCAUGUUCCAAAGUACCACGAGACACGAGAAACCUUGUGGGAAGUCGGGGGGACCACCCCCCAAGGCUAAAUACUCCUUAGUGACCGAUAGCGCAUAGUACUGUGAAGGAAAGGUGAAAAGAACCCCGGGAGGGGAGUGAAAAAGAACCUGAAACCCUGUGUUUACAAACUGUGGAACCACAUUUUAGGUGGAACCGCGUACUUUUUGUAGAACGGUCCGGCGAGUUGCCGGGACUGGCAAGGUUAAGCACUUUAGGUGUGGAGCCGAAGGGAAACCAAGUCUUAAUAGGGCGUUGAGUCAGUUCAGGCAGACCCGAAACCGGGUGAUCUACCCAUGUCCAGGUUGAAGUUUCCGUAAAAGGAAAUGGAGGACCGAACGCACAUCCGUUGAAAAGGGUGGCGAUGAGGUGUGGGUAGGGGAGAAAUUCCAAUCGAACCCGGAGAUAGCUGGUUCUCCUCGAAAUAGCUUUAGGGCUAGCCUCGUAUUAGUUUAGCGGAGGUAGAGCACUGAAUUCUUAAGGGGGCGUCAAAGCUUACCAAGAGAUAUCAAACUCCGAAUGCCGCAUAAAUGAUGUACGGGAGUCAGACUGCACGAGAUAAGUUGGGCAGUCAAAAGGGAAAGAGCCCAGACCACCAGCUAAGGUCCCAAAGUGCGUGUUAAGUGGAAAAGGAUGUGGGAUUUCGAAGACAACUAGGAUGUUGGCUCAGAAGCAGCCACACAUUCAAAGAGUGCGUAAUAGCUCACUAGUCGAGAGGUCCUGCGCCGAAAAUGUCCGGGGCUGAAACACGACACCGAAGCUGUGGAAUGUAGCAAUACAUUGGUAGAGGAGCAUUCUUAACUGCGGCGAAGCGUUACCGUAAGGAGGCGUGGAGCGUUAAGAAGAGAGAAUGCCGGAAUGAGUAGCGAGAUGGAGGUGGGAAUCCUCCAGGCCGAAUAUCUAAGGUUUCCAGAGUAAAGCUGAUCUGCUCUGGGUAAGUCGGGGCCUAAGGCGAGGUCGAAAGACGUAGUCGAUGGACAACAGGUUGAAAUUCCUGUACCGCGUAUUAUCAGAACUGUGGGGACACAGAACCGAAGCCAAACCCGGGAAUGAAAAGACCGGGGCAAGCGCCGGACUGGUUAGACUGGAAAAUCCGUUUAACAACAGGAAAGCGUGACGCGUACCGAACAAAAGUAGGGAAGUUGGUAUAGGGGCUGUCAAGAAAAGCCGCUAUUGUGUAAUACGUGCCCGUACCGUAAACCGACACAGGUGGAUGAGGAGAGAAUCCUAAGGCCGGCGGGAGAAGCAUUGUUAAGGAACUCGGCAAAAUGACCCUGUAACUUCGGGAUAAAGGGUGCCCACGAGAGUGGGCCGCAGAGAAUAGGCUCAAGCAACUGUUUAGCAAAAACACAGGUCUAUGCAAAACCGAAAGGUGAGGUAUAUGGGCUGACGCCUGCCCGGUGCUGGAAGGUUAAGAGGAGAGGUUAGGAGCAAUCCGAAGCUUUGAAUUUAAGCCCCAGUAAACGGCGGCCGUAACUAUAACGGUCCUAAGGUAGCGAAAUUCCUUGUCGGGUAAGUUCCGACCCGCACGAAAGGCGUAAUGAUUUGAGCGCUGUCUCGACAAUGCACCCGGUGAAAUUGAAGUACCAGUGAAGAUGCUGGUUACCUGCGCCAGGACGGAAAGACCCCAUGGAGCUUUACUCCAGCUUGAUACUGGGAUUCGGUACUGCAUGUACAGGAUAGGUGGGAGGCAGAGAAGGUAGGACGCCAGUCUUACCGGAGCCAUUGUUGGGAUACCACCCUUGCGGUAUUGGGUUUCUAACCUGCGGCCAUGACCUGGCCGGGGGACAAUGUCAGGUGGGGAGUUUGACUGGGGCGGUCGCCUCCGAAAGGGUAUCGGAGGCGCUCAAAGGUUCCCUCAGAAUGGACGGAAACCAUUCGAAGAGUGCAAAGGCAUAAGGGAGCUUGACUGCGACACCGACGGGUGGAGCAGGUACGAAAGUAGGACUUAGUGAUCCGGUGGUAUAAAGUGGGAUUGCCAUCGCUCAACGGAUAAAAGCUACCCUGGGGAUAACAGGCUUAUCACUCCCAAGAGUUCACAUCGACGGAGUGGUUUGGCACCUCGAUGUCGGCUCAUCGCAUCCUGGGGCUGAAGUAGGUCCCAAGGGUUGGGCUGUUCGCCCAUUAAAGC